CUGCGGCAGCGACGCUGAUGCGUUGUUGGGUAGGGGAGCGUUCUGUAAGCCUGCGAAGGUGUGCUGUGAGGCAUGCUGGAGGUAUCAGAAGUGCGAAUGCUGACAUAAGUAACGAUAAAGCGGGUGAAAAGCCCGCUCGCCGGAAGACCAAGGGUUCCUGUCCAACGUUAAUCGGGGCAGGGUGAGUCGACCCCUAAGGCGAGGCCGAAAGGCGUAGUCGAUGGGAAACAGGUUAAUAUUCCUGUACUUGGUGUUACUGCGAAGGGGGGACGGAGAAGGCUAUGUUGGCCGGGCGACGGUUGUCCCGGUUUAAGCGUGUAGGCUGGUUUUCCAGGCAAAUCCGGAAAAUCAAGGCUGAGGCGUGAUGACGAGGCACUACGGUGCUGAAGCAACAAAUGCCCUGCUUCCAGGAAAAGCCUCUAAGCAUCAGGUAACAUCAAAUCGUACCCCAAACCGACACAGGUGGUCAGGUAGAGAAUACCAAGGCGCUUGAGAGAACUCGGGUGAAGGAACUAGGCAAAAUGGUGCCGUAACUUCGGGAGAAGGCACGCUGAUAUGUAGGUGAAGUCCCUCGCGGAUGGAGCUGAAAUCAGUCGAAGAUACCAGCUGGCUGCAACUGUUUAUUAAAAACACAGCACUGUGCAAACACGAAAGUGGACGUAUACGGUGUGACGCCUGCCCGGUGC
rnacentral:rRNA from 1 species